CAAAUAUGUACCUGAGAUCCACCAUGACCGUCGUAAACUCCGAAGAAAUGAACGGGUUGGAUUUCAGAAGAAACUCUUGACGACGGAGCUGUACAACCUCCGAUAUCUCGACACGUAUGAUUACUGAUAAAACCAGGUUCUGUUAAUCCCCCGUCAUCUCCACCAUUAUUAUUCGAAUUUUCUACAAUAUUAUUCGGAUUUUCAAUUGUCGAGGUAGUAGGUAUUGUUGAAGGAGAAGAAGAAAUUAGGUUAAGAUUUGAUGAUGAAGAUGAAGGUAAAGAAACAGCAGGAACCAUUAUAUCAGCUAAAGGAAGAAGAAUCUCACUAGAAAUACUACUGCUACUACUUGUCGUUGUACUAUUACUACUACUCCUACUAAUUUCUUGAUCAGUACUGAAAUAAUUUGAUGAUGAUAAUGAUUCUAUUGUUGUUGCUGUUGAUAUCGAAACAGAAUCAUCACAUUCUUCUUCAUCUUCUUUAGAUCCCGGUAUUACACUUCCUAAUCCUUUAUCUCCUUCUUCUUCUUCUCCUCCUUGCUUCUUAACCAGAUCUUCAUCCUCUAACAGAUCCAUCAAAACAAUCAGAAAACAGAGAAAAUUAUAAUGGGAGAUUAGGACAAUAGACGGUCCAGGAAAAAGAAUUUGGAGAGAGAAAAGGAAGAGAGGCUUUGAUGAGUGAAGAUUGGGAUUAAAAAGGAAAAAUGAAGAAACAACAGAGAGAUGACACGUGUGAGGGGUGCAGAAAAAUAGAUGACACACGCAUUCUUGUUGCUUUGUUUUUUGUUUAGAUGAUUGACACGAAUAUUAAAUUCAACGGUUGUUAUUUAAGCACGUAUUAUUUGUUUUUGAUUUAUUUAUUUUUUUUUGUUAUUUUGACCUAAACGACUUUAAUUAUAUUUGUGUUGUUGGCCUAUUGUUGUCA